CUCGGUAGAUACUUGAAUGGGGGGGUGAAAAGAAAGAAGCCCUCCAGGAUACGAAGGUCACUAACUUUAGGUUACUGAGUGAUCGAGUGAUGGGUAGAGAUGCUGAUUAUAAUUUCAAAGACUGGGAGUAUAACUGGAAGAAAAAGAUGUGUAUAAGGAAGAAAACAUGAGUUUGGUUUUAGACAUUUGGCCUCAGAGUAUUUUCAAGCCAUCUACAGUAAGAGUGGAUUUCAUGGAUAGUUGGGCUAGAAAUUUAGAGGCUGAAGGCAUCAAUAGAUAGCUGAGAACACACAGAAUAAAUUUAUAGAAUGAACUGAGAAAUGUGUCAAGAGGAACAGCAACACUUAAAAGGAAGAGAUAUCAGUAAAGGACAUGAAAGAGAAAAGGCCAAAAAGAAUGAGAAGAACCAAAUAAUUUCAGAUAUCACAGAACUCAAGGAAAUGAGAGAUUUAAAAGAAUCCAUGACAGUGUGUUGCUGACAGCAAGAUCUGGAUAAACAGGAGGAUAUCACUGGAAAUCUGGGCUCAAUGGACUUCCCUGAAAUCCUUUCCCCUGGAGAGAGAUGCCUGUUUUCCCCAAGAGCUCCAUGCACCCA
ensembl:lincRNA